UGUGUUGAUCAGCAUUGAAUUAGACAGAGGCCUGGCUGUUUGCUGGGAGCUGAUCAUACUCACUGAAUACCACUGCAUCAUCUCUUCCAGAGUGCAGAAAACCAGCUGAACAAAUGGACAUGUGCAGGAGAAACAGUGAGCUGAGAGACACAGGCUCACCUCUCUGCUCAGGCUCAGACCUCCUGUGAGAUCCUGUUCAGGUCGCAGUGACAUCUACCAGGCAAGCUGUGAUCUCUAUGGCCUGUGAAUCAUCGCUGAUAACGGUGAUCCCGCUGUCUGACUCCUGCCUUUACCAGCUGUACAGCACCAGAGUUUGAGGAUGCACCCAGAGAGAGCUCCCUGGCACUACAGUAAGGGAAAUUGUCUCUUCCUUCUGGAGGACAGCCCAGACAGAGAUUACCUGUGAGGGAUGCUCUUAUGGACAGAAGGAUAGUACAGGUUACCUUCACUGUCCCUGGAAGAACUGUUCACAGUCUGGCCUGUGUGCAAUAGUCUCCAGCAAAACGGGGAAAACUUUGGCUGUUCUUUGGGUCUCAGUAUCUCCGGCUCCUCCAUCUGGAACAUCAGCAUCUUGGCCUCCAUCCCUGGGAUGUUUCCCUGCUCAGUUCAAACUCAGCUGCCAGCAGAAGCACAGAGACACAAAGCAGCAGUGGCACCGACACAUGGGGAGUCUAAUGAGCAUAGCACUGACCAGCUCUUUGGCAGAGGGUGGAGAUGUCCUCUUCCAAGCUGUCCUAGUUGCCAGGGGUUUGCCCUCUCAUUGCCUCGUUUGGACACUCUGCAGGAGCAGUAGCAUCACAGUGAAGUCAAGCUACCAAUUUAAACUUGAAGCUAUUUUCUCUAACAUUGUCUGAAGAAGAGGCUUCAACAGCAGCCGUCCUCGACACAGCUAGCUGCAGAAGGUAACUGUUGUCCAUAGCAUAAGUUGUGUACUUGC